GUCCACGCUGUAAACGAUGAAUACUAGGUGUGGGGGACUGACCCCCUCCGUGCCGCAGUUAACACAAUAAGUAUUCCACCUGGGGAGUACGACCGCAAGGUUGAAACUCAAAGGAAUUGACGGGGGCCCGCACAAGCAGUGGAUUAUGUGGUUUAAUUCGACGCAACGCGAAGAACCUUACCAGGAUUUGACAUCCAACUAACGAAGUAGAGAUACAUCAGGUGCCCUUCGGGGAAAGUUGAGACAGGUGGUGCAUGGUUGUCGU
rnacentral:rRNA from 1 species